rnacentral:tRNA from 1 species
GCCGGAAUAGCUCAGUC